rnacentral:lncRNA from 1 species
AUGGUAAACUCUCUUCAUGGUGUGCAAUCUUUGGGUUUUGUGUUAUGAUGUCACUGGAUGUUGGACUUGUGUGAGAUGGGAUUUUGGUGCCCAGACCAGUUAUAGUAUGGGAGCUAUUGUUAAAGAAAAACAAUGACAUAUCUUUUGGAUUUUGUGCCUUAUGCUCAUAUAUAUAUAUAUAUAUAUAUAUAUAUCAGAAAGGAAAAUUUGGUGAAGGGAUAUAUUUAAUUACUGAGAAUGUGAUAUCUCUUGCAACUCUCGAUAAUGGCAAUCAUGAUGUCAAUAACGGAGAUAUGUGAUCUCUUAAACCAUUAUUAUUAUGUUUUUUUUUCUUCUUUCUUCAAAUUAUUAUUAUUAUUGUUAUUUUUAUUAUUAUUAUUUUAUGGAAAUGCAUUGGUCAGUGUUCCGUUUGAUUGCACCCGCUGAGUGCCAUGGAAAGUAUUUUCAUUGUUAAAAGUCGUUCGUGGAUAAAAAAAAAAAAAAAA